CCAGGGUUAGUCGGGACCUAAGCCGAGGCCGAUAGGCGUAGGCGAUGGAUAACAGGUUGAUAUUCCUGUACCCGUUGUUUUUGUUUGAGCAAUGGAGGGACGCAGGAGGCUAAGGAAUGCAGACGAUCGGAAAUGUCUGUCCAAGCAGUAAGUCUGAAGAGGAGUCAAAUGCUUCUUUUCUUAAGGACAAGCUGUGAUGGGGAGGGAAAUAAUAGUACCGAAGUUCCUGAUGUCACACUGCCGAGAAAAGCUUCU
rnacentral:rRNA from 1 species